rnacentral:rRNA from 1 species
AUGAACAAAGCUUAGAAAGAUGGCUCUGCUAUCACUUAUCGAUGGCCUUGCGGUGCAUUAACUAGUUGGCGAGGUAACGGCUCACCAAGGUGAUGAUGCAUAGCCCGACCCCUGAGAGGGUAAUCGGCCACAUUGGGACUGAGACACGGCCCAAACUCCUACGGGAGGCAGCAGUAGGGAAUCUUCCGCAAUGGACGCAAGUCUGACGGAGCAACGCCGCGUGAGUGAAGAAGGUUUUCGGAUCGUAAAACUCUGUUGUAAGAGAAGAACAAAUUGUAGAGUAACUGCUACAGUCUUGACGGUAUCUUACCAGAAAGCCACGGCUAACUACGUGCCAGCAGCCGCGGUAAU